GCUUUGCUCAGUCCACAACUCCAGCUUGUGAAACAGUGCUGCCCACUCGGGCCGGUGCUUCCUACCUCAGGAUAAUCGGGACGGCCCCUCACAGGCCAGCCUGAUCUAGACAAUCCCUCAUUGAGAUCCUUCCCAGCUGAUUCUAGAUUACAUCAAGUUCAUGGGGUGGGGUUGGAGAGAUGGCUCAGCAUUUAAGAGCACUGGCUGCUCUUGCAGAGCACCUGGGUGGAAUCCCAGCACACCCACGUGACAGCUCAAAACCACCUGUAACUCCAGUUCCAGGGAGAGGAUCUGGCAUCUGGCCCCCACUGAAGUUGGCACCGGGGACAAAAAGCGACUUUCAGCGGCCAGGUCCCCAGCGGUUGGAGGCGCCUUGCGGCAGCAGGACCCCACAGAUCCACACGCGGAGCAUCCUACUGUGUGCCCUCCCUCCGGCGGGAAAGGUGUGGACCCGAGCCCAGCGCAGCCUGGGAAGUCUGAGCUCCAGGGAUGAGACUGCCAGCAGGCUGAGCCCCGGGAACCUGCUGGAGUAUCGUGGGGACAUGGCAUCUUGGCUCUGGAGAAGGCUUCGUGGCAAGAAGCAGUCAGUGAUGGCGUUCUGCCUCCUGAUGAUCCUGUCUGCGGUGACUGUCACUCACCUUCCUCCGGAGCAUCCAGCGUCCACCCCGGGACUUGGUCCCAUGGAGCCCCAGGAGAAAAUCGGCAUGCCUGAGCCCAACAUUUGGCAGACUUUGAACUCUAGCCAGAGGCAGCGAGCAAGAAACCUGGGCUUCGGGAAAGGUCGGGCUUUGCCCAGAGAGUCCGUCUUGGUCUGUGCCGAGAAGCAAAGCCACAGAGUGCGAGUGGACAGAAGCAGACACCCACGGAGGGUCAGGAGAGAUGCUGCUUGGACAGGAGGUCCAACACUCAGUGCCCAACAUCGUGUGCAGGAGAACGAGGUCAGAGAUGCAGGAGGCACAGACCUGGACCAGCCUGAGCAUGGUGGUCCUGUCCAAGAAAGGCAGAAUAAGACAGACACCCUAAUUAGGCCACUCCUAGGGAGCAGCCUGGCAACUUUCCAGGCAUGGAGAGGUACCGCUGCACUGAGUUUAGAUGGGAACUCCCUGUCAGGAGUCAAGGACAGAGUCUUGACUGGCGGGAAGGCUGGGGGUAUCACCUUAGGUCCAGGGACUCAUUGGUGGCCUGGGACCGUUGAAGAGCUGCAAAGGUCCCCAUGGUGCCGUACUGAGACCCCUGGGUCAUUGGCUGCAGCUGGGGAGCAGGUUCCACCGUGGUUCACAGAACACGACGUCCAGACUCUCUGGUUACUGGCCCAUGGGGAGGUGGUGGGCAAAGCCAGGAUUCCCGCCCAUGGGCAGGUGCUGCAGGUCGGACUAUCUGCUAUGGGUGCUCUCCAGGACGUGUCUUCUCUCAGGCUCAGCCAGCUCUGCUCCCAGGGCCUCUGCGGCCUCAUCAAGAGGCCUGGAGACCUGCAUGAAGUCCUAGCCUUCCACGUGGACCGUGUACUGGGACUCCGACGGAGCCUGCCUGCUGUAGCCCGGAGCUUCCGCAGCCCUCUUCUGCCCUACCGCUACACGGAUGGUGGUCUGAGGCCCGUCAUCUGGUGGGCGCCCGACGUGCAGCACUUAGGAGACCCAGAUGAGGACCAGAACUCUCUAGCCUUGGGCUGGUUGCAGUACCAGGCCCUGCUGGCUAGCGGCUGCAGCUGGCCAGGCCAGAGCCUAUGCCUGGGCAUCCACCACGCUGAGUGGGCACGUUUGGCCCUCUUUGACUUCCUGCUGCAGGUCCAUGACCGCCUGGAUCGCUACUGCUGUGGUUUUGAGCCCGAGCCCUCAGACCCCUGUGUGGAAGAGGGGCUUCGAGAGAAAUGUCAGAACCCAGAUGAGCUACGGCUGGUGCACAUCCUGGUCCGGAGCAGUGACCCAUCUCGUUUGCUGUUCAUAGACAAUGCUGGCAAUCUUCAGCAGCCUGAGGACAAGCUGAACUUUCGACUGCUGGAAGGCAUAGAUGGGUUUCCUGAGUCCGUCGUGAAGGUUCUCGCAUCAGGGUGUCUACAGAACCUCCUGCUCAAGUCGCUGCAGAUGGACUGGGUGUUUUGGGAGAGCCAAGGCGGAGCCAGAGGUCUGAAGCACAUCCUAGAGACACUGGAGAGGCGAGGGCAGGUCCUGCUGAGACACAUACAGAGGCACAACCUCACGCUGUUCCGGGACAAGGACCUGUGAGUCCACCUCUGUCUGGGCAGAGCACACCUUGCUGGAGGACUUCCCAUGACAUAAGCCUGGCAUGCAAUGCCCACGGAAGUCAGGAGAGGUCGCUGCAUCCUCUGGAACUGGAGCUACAGAUUAACUGUGAGCUGCUUCCUGAGUUCUGGUAACUAAAGUUGGUUUCUCUGGGACAGCAGGUGUUGCUUUUACUGCUGAGAAAUAUUUCUAGCCCUUCGGAUAAAUAUUUGUAUGAGUCUUUAAGGGGAAAAUCAAAUUUUAAAUUUUAUUUUUAAUUCCUCAUUUAUGGUGGUGUGUAACCUUCAUUGUUUCUGGGGAAGACGGUUGAGUGACAGCUACAGCGAUGUCUCCAUCUUACUCCUGACUUUAAUGAGAGCAUGCCUAUGUCUCACUGCUGACUGCAAUCAGCAUGACCACGCACAACCCAGGUCAAAUGUGACUUUAUGGAUAUCCCCUAUGGAUGUGCUCCGCUUCAUGGCCUCUGUGUGAGACACUGCCUGUGCAAGUGGGCACGUGUUCCCUCCACAGCACUGUUCCUAGCCCACUGUGUCAUCUCCCUUGACAAGCAAAAUGAAAGAGCUGGGUACUCACUGCCAACUUUGCUUCCCGUUGUCCAAGACUUGCCAAGACUAUCUCCCUCUGAGCUGUCAGCUUAAGGUGGCUCCUAAGGCCACCCCCAAAUACAGGCAAUUGCCCCUGUGUUAGUUUACCACCAAUGCUAGAUGCUAAACCCCUACAGUUGAAGACACCAAACAUCUGUCCCAGGACAGAGACAUCAAGUUGGAACUGGAAGCUUCCUCCCUGCCCACCAACCCUCAUAGUGUUAUAAAGUGUUACGCAGGGUUCUGGGAGAAUAACAAGUCUUACAUGGCAGCAGACUCUGCGUGCAACACCAGCCUGCCAGACAGGAUGCGCCGACUGAUGCACUACAAUAGUAGCGGGUCUGUCACGGGGCAACCAACUGCUUUCUGAUUGGCUCUGAGGCCCACUCCACAGGUUUGACAGUAUAACCUGUUAGAAGCCUGUGGUUGGGUACGUCAUGGGCCCCAAUGGGGAAGCUGCUGCUGUUAUGUUUCAUGGAUGUGACACACCCAUGAAACUGUCUUCUUUCACGCCUGUGGACCAGGGCUGCUGUCAGCUUUGGGAGGGCGUCCUUUUGUGGCGGCCAGCAGUACCUGCAGACUGAUACAUGGUUAAAGUGCUGGGGACAAGCGACUAUUGGAUGCCCAUCCGUGGGGCAUCGACCUCAGUCUCUCCAGGGAACACCAUGACAGUGGCAAUAAUGAUGCAGGGGAUGUGGGACACCGACUUCUGGGCAUUCUUGACCUCACAGCAGCUGCAAUGACCAACACAAGAUGGGGGUCCAUCUCCACCCCAUCAUAGAAGUGGGAUGAGCGCAUGGGACCUCACCCUUCACUGAGGAUUAUAAUCAUUGGAUGAAGGGAGCCAUUUUCUUCAGUUGGGUGGUCGAUGGCAAGGCCUGUGCAAACAAACCCUCUUCCGUGUGCAACUCAUUGGCUCAAAUAAAGACACACACAAAAGGACAUGAAAAUAGGAGGGGUGGGCUGGAGAGAGGAAAGGGUCAGUAGGAAGGGGAACAGAAAAGUUUAACAGGGAGAACGGAUUGGAAUGUACCAUAUAUAUGCAUGAAAAUGUCAUGAAA